CUUAAGCAGGCUGCAAAGCAGAGAGUAGAAAAACAAAAGGAAAAGCUUCUAGGAUCUGUUUUGCUCAGAGAGUUGCUGUAAGAGAGCAAGGCUCCCUGACUCUGCAGGGAAGGUGCUGGUGAGUCUAAGCAUGAAUUCUUCAAGGAAAGCCACAAAAGAACUUAGGAGAGAUGCUGUAAACUGUUCUGCAAGGGAAUAAGCAGCUUCCUACUAGCCUAGGACACCACUAUGUGGAGAGUGGGAUCAUGGCCAGCAACUCUAAACUGAAGAUGGUGUGUGCGCCAGUGCAGGAAGUGCCUCUUCCCUUGUGUAUGCACCGCCUCUAGCACAGUGGUGCUCAACCUUCCAGCCCUGCGGGCCGGAUGAAUGGCACGUGUGAUCCUGUGUGCUGGCCCGACCCAACACACUGGGUCUGGUUGCAGGGUGACUACCCCGCUGUGGCUCAGUGAUCUAGUGGUUUGGGCCACAUCAUCUAGCUGGCAGGGCUCCCCACAGGUUCAGAAAUUUGACAGAAGAGCAAUGGCAAUUAAUGCCACCACCACACCCAGGGCCGGAUUAAUGCAUAUGCACAUUAGGUACGUGCCUAGGGCCCUAAGUGAAGAAGGGGCCAAGUUGUGCUUAUUUUACAUAUUAUAAUAUAAAUAUACAGUAUUAAGUAGGGGCCCAUGGUUUUCUUUGCUUAAGGCCCACGAAGGAUUAAUCCAGCCUUGACCA